CUCGCGCCGCCAGCCCCACGGGGACCUGCCGGGAGCAACCGCGCCGGGGCGGGAGGUCACGGCCGCGGCGGGCGCGGCGGGCACGAUGUCUCCCUAACCGAUAGGUGUGCAAAAUAGGGAAGGUGGUCAAGCAAGUCACUAAAUAUGAAUAAAUAAUAAAUCACUUAAAUUAUAUAAGUCAGAUUUAUGAAGCUUGGGCAAGGCAACAGUCCCAGACCACACCAAGAUAACACCACACAGGGAGAGAGGACGACUCAAGAGGCGCAAGGAGCGACCACAGACGAGCGGGAAGGCAGCAGCCACGCGGGCGAGCCGGGCCUCAACAAUUUUGUCCAAGUUCUGCGGUCCUCUACGUAUGAAGGCGCUAUCGGCCCAUUAACGAGUGUUUACACGUGGAAAAUUCUACGUUAAUAUAGCCGGGCGAGUCUAUCCACUUCACUAAAGCACACAUAAUACAAAUGUGAAACACAUGACUGCACUGUAUACGCUUCAUCCAUAACUUUGUAGAAUUGUAAAGUUACAGGAAAGUGACAUCGCUAUAAUCGUCAUAUUGUCACAUCGCGGAAACCCUGGACCAUAAAUGGAAGGCGACAGAGGAGGCUACCAGUGAAUCCUUGAGGAGGUUAUGAGUGAAUCCUUGAGGGAAACUAUCUACAGAACAAGGUGGAGAAGGGUUUGGGGAGGAAUUUUGAGGGGAACUAUCUACAUAACAAUGUGUAAGAGGAUUUGAUGAUAAAUCUUGAGAGAAACAAUAUACAGAACAUGGUGUAGGAGGAUUUCAUGAUCAAUCUUGAGAGAAACCAUCUACAUAACAUGGUGUAGGAGGAUUUGAUGAUAAAUCUUGAGAGAAACUAUCUACAUAACAAGGUGUAGGAGGAUUUCAUGAUAAAUCUUGAGAGAAAAUAUCUACAGAACAAGGUGUAGGAGGAUUUCAUGAUAAAUCUUGAGAGAAACUAUCUACAUAACAUGGUGUAGGAGGAUUUGAUGAUAAAUCUUGAGGGAAACUACAGAACAAGGUGGAGUAGGGUUUUUGGGGAAAAUGCUUGAGGAAGGAGGUGAGGGUUGGGAGGUCCUGAGGGCGCCCCUUACUGAGC